CCCUUAGAUGUUCUGGGCCGCACGCGCGCUACACUGAUGAAUUCAACGAGUUUUCCACCUUGACCGAGAGGUCCGGGAAAUCUUUUCAACUUUCAUCGUGCUGGGGAUAGAUUAUUGCAAUUGUUAAUCUUGAACGAGGAAUUCCUAGUAAGCGCAAGUCAUCAGCUUGCGUUGAUUACGUCCCUGCCCUUUGUACACACCGCCCGUCGCUCCUACCGAUUGAAUGGUCCGGUGAAGCGUUCGGACCGUGGCCUUUGGACGGUUCGCCGUCUGUUGGCUGCGGGAAGUUCGUUAAACCUUAUCAUUUAGAGGAAGGAGAAGUCGUAACA
rnacentral:rRNA from 1 species